CUCGUGAUGGAAUAGAGGUAAUUCGCCGGGCUUUUGCCCUGAGAUGUGGGUUCGACUCCCGCUCACGACC
rnacentral:tRNA from 1 species